UGAGUACAGAAUCAAAUAUGCGGUACAAAUUACAAACAACUAAAGGAAAUCAAAUCGCAAUCUCAGUAAACACAUAAGAACCUAUUGAAUAAAUAAACCAAACGACCCAUAGUGCGCGGAUCCUUCCCGGGUUGGGUCACCGCUCGGGUUUGGUCAUCAGACGGCACCAUUUUAAAUCCGGUGAUUAAAACUAAAACAAAAAAAACACAAAAAAACCUAACCUAACACUUUUAUCUCAUUUUUUUUUAAAAAAACUUAAGCUCUCUCUCUCAGCGCCGCUCAACGUUCAUCGCCUCCUUCAGGGACUCUCCGGACCACGCCCCAAACUCCGAUGACAACGGAGAAAGAGCAACAGAUCCGGUCACGAGGUACGCCCUUUCUCUUUUACUACUUCCAUUUCCUUCUUUAGUAAACAACCGAUGGAGUCUCAAAACAAAAGAAAAAACGAACUGCGAAAAUAAAAAGGAAGAAAAAGAACCCAGAAAUCACCUUUUGGUGUUUUUUUAUUUUUGUAUUCUGAUUGCCUGCGUGUUACAGCAUACUCUUGGUCUUUUUAUAGUAUCUAUUUACAGAAAAAAUGAAAAAUAAAAAAAUAAAAAUCCAAACAAAUCGCCCCCGCUCUGUUAUCUUUGAUUUUUUUCUCUGCCCCUUUUGUGUGCCGUUGCUAUAUGUUUUACUGUUCAUUUGUUCAUCUCUUGCAGGUACGGUGUGCAGAGGUGCGGGCGUGGCACGUAUGGAGGCGAAGGCGCGCGCGUACAAGGGCUCGUCACGUGCGGAGGGAGAGCGAGGGGACGUCACUGCUACGGCGUUGGGAACCCUUGCUGCUAGGGUUUCCAUGUGUCGUUUUGUGUUUUGGGUUGAUUUGGGUCACUGGGUAUUUAGGCUAAUGGGCUGAAUUGGGCUGGUAGUUUGGGCCAUUGUAAUUGGGUUGUUUUUGGACUCGGGUUUGAUGUAAUUUGGGUUAUUAGGCUCGGUGGGUCUGAGUCUGUAAAUGAACAUUUAUUUAAUUGAAUUUGGGUUUAAUUUUAAUAUUUGUAAAACUAGGCUGUUAAUAGUGGAUAUUUUAAUUUAAUGUAUUUGCUUUUUUCUUUUUGGUAUUUAUUGGGCCGGGCAAAAUGGGUUAUUACAAUACUAUUAUAAUAUCCAAUUUUAUAUCAUUGUUAG
rnacentral:lncRNA from 1 species